rnacentral:rRNA from 1 species
AACCCCUGUGACAUACCACUUGUUGCCUCGGCGGAUCAGCCCGCUCCCGGUAAAACGGGACGGCCCGCCAGAGGACCCCUAAACUCUGUUUCUAUAUGUAACUUCUGAGUAAAACCAUAAAUAAAUCAAAACUUUCAACAACGGAUCUCUUGGUUCUGGCAUCGAUGAAGAACGCAGCAAAAUGCGAUAAGUAAUGUGAAUUGCAGAAUUCAGUGAAUCAUCGAAUCUUUGAACGCACAUUGCGCCCGCCAGUAUUCUGGCGGGCAUGCCUGUUCGAGCGUCAUUUCAACCCUCAAGCCCUCGGGUUUGGUGUUGGGGAUCGGCGAGCCCUUUGCGGCAAGCCGGCCCCGAAAUCUAGUGGCGGUCUCGCUGCAGCUUCCAUUGCGUAGUAGUAAAACCCUCGCAACUGGUACGCGGCGCGGCCAAGCCGUUAAACCCCCAACUUCUGAAUGUUGACCUCGGAUCAGGUAGGAAUACCCGCUGAACUUAAGCAUAUCAAUAAGCGGAG